UACGAAGGGGGCUAGCGUUGCUCGGAUUGACUGGGCGUAAAGGGCGCGUAGGCGGUUCGUACAGUCAGACGUGAAAUUCCUGGGCUCAACCUGGGGGCUGCGUUUGAUACGUGCGGACUUGAGUGCGGAAGAGGGUCGUGGAAUCCCCAGUGUAGAGGUGAAAUUCGUAGAUAUUGGGAAGAACACCGGUGGCGAAGGCGGCGACCUGGUCCGAUACUGACGCUGAGGCGCGAAAGCGUGGGGAGCGAACAGG
rnacentral:rRNA from 1 species